ensembl:snRNA U6 U6 spliceosomal RNA
GUGCUUGUUUCAGCAGCACAUAUACUAAAAUCAGAAUAAUACAGAGAAGAUUAGCAUGGCCUCUGCAUAAGGAUGACAUGCAAAUUCAUGAAGCAUUCCAUAUUUUU